UUUGAUGUGAAGCUGAUUAUAUAACAGCAGAUACUUGCACAGCCAUUCAGUAUCUCUUGCAAAGCAGCCACAGAAAAAUCCAUUCUAAAGCUGAGCACAGCAGAUCCCAAGUCAAUCCAUAGAAUCUGAGAAGUCCCACUAGUUUGCUGUAUACAACUUGUGACCUGUCCAGCAAAAACGUACCCACUGACCAACGGAAAUAAGCACCAGACGACAGAAAGCCUCCCACUCCCCAUCCAUACCCCUCACUAUGCCACAUCACUCAACUCUGCAUGCUUUACUCAACUAAUAAAAACUGAAUAACUUGAUGACUGGAAAUAAAAGGGGUAUGAGGACAUCUGGUGGCUGAACAAUAACAUAGUUUGUUUUAUCAAGUGGAACUGCAAAAUAACAAAAUAGAUGUUGAAACCUAUUUGUUUACUCCUUGGUGUGGCAGAAAAUAUGUGCACACAAAUCUCUGCUUCAACGACUUUUGCUUCAAACGAGGCUGAUGCUAAAUUGAAUGAAUGUAUGGAAACUGAAUAAUUCCUAGAUUGUAUUAAUGCAAACAUUUUUCUUGUACAUCGUCUUCUCUAUAUAACCUACUCAGCUGCACAAUAAUGUUUUAAACAUGUGCUUGUUAUUUUUUUUAAUAGCACACUCAGAUCAUUGAAAUGAUAGCACAGUAUUAUUUUACUUAUGUUGUAAAUUUGAGCCUUAAGAUGCAGUGUUUUAUUCUUAUUUUUCAUUUUCUUUUACCUUUGUCUGAAUAGUCACUUAUCUUAAUGAGCUGCUGUGACACCCACAUUUCCCCAAUAAAGUAUAUUUCUACUCUAUCCCAUUCUAUUCUGUUUUUGCCAUUAUGAUAAGAAAAUGCUCCUGCCUCUCUUUAUCUGGUUUCCAUGGCUUUAUGUACAUAAUUCACCUCUCACAUUUAUAUGAUAUUUUUGAAUGUCUUCAUGUUAUCAAUCCUAGCCUGUGCCUUUCUUGUCCAAUGACAUUAACAAAAAGAGCAAUAAAUGAUUCAAAAUUGA